rnacentral:ncRNA from 2 species
UCUUCCAAGGAGCGUUGCAGCAAGCCACCCGGCUUGUCAGGCUUGGAAUGGGUUUGACACCACCGCAACGACGCUCACCUGAC